rnacentral:rRNA from 1 species
AACGAACGCUGGCGGCAUGCCUAACACAUGCAAGUCGAACGAGAUCUUCGGGUCUAAUGGCGCACGGGUGCGUAACGCGUGGGAAUCUGCCCUUUGGUUCGGAAUAACAGUUGGAAACGACUGCUAGUACCGGAUGAUGACGAAAGUCCAAAGAUUUAUCGCCAGAGGAUGAGCCCGCGUAGGAUUAGCUAGUUGGUGUGGUAAAGGCGCACCAAGGCGACGAUCCUUAGCUGGUCUGAGAGGAUGAUCAGCCACACUGGGACUGAGACACGGCCCAGACUCCUACGGGAGGCAGCAGUGGGGAAUAUUGGACAAUGGGCGAAAGCCUGAUCCAGCAAUGCCGCGUGAGUGAUGAAGGCCUUAGGGUUGUAAAGCUCUUUUACCCGGGAUGAUAAUGACAGUACCGGGAGAAUAAGCUCCGGCUAACUCCGUGCCAGCAGCCGCCGUAAGAC